CUUGACCUCAAAUCGAGUAGGACUACCCGCUGAACUUAAGCAUAUCAAUAAGCGGAGGAAAAGAAACUAACAAGGAUUCCCCUAGUAACGGCGAGUGAAGAGGGAAGAGCUCAAAUUUUGAAUCUGGUGCCUUCGGUGCCCGAAUUGUAAUCUAGAGAAGUGUUUUCCAUGACGGACCGUGCAUAAGUCUCCUGGAAUGGAGCGUCAUAGAGGGUGAGAAUCCCGUAUAUGGCAUGGACUCCCGUUGUUCUGUGAUACACUCUCGACGAGUCGAGUUGUUUGGGAAUGCAGCUCUAAAUGGGUGGUAAAUGCCAUCUAAAGCUAAAUAUUGGCGAGAGACCGAUAGCGAACAAGUACCGUGAGGGAAAGAUGAAAAGCACUUUGGAAAGAGAGUGAAACAGUACGUGAAAUUGUUGAAAGGGAAACGCUUGAAGUCAGUCGCGCCGUUUGGGAUUCAGCCUUGCUUCUGCUCGGUUUACUUCCCAUUGGGUGGGUCAACAUCAGUUUCGGUCGGAGGAGAAAGGCUUGGGGAAGGUAGCAGCAUUCGUGCUGUGUUAUAGCCCCUUGUUGUAUACUUCGAUUGAGACUGAGGACCGCAGCACGCCUCUGGCCGGGGUUCGCCCACGUACGUGCUUAGGAUGUUGGCAUAAUGGCUUUAAGCGACCCGUCUUGAAACACGGGA
rnacentral:rRNA from 1 species